GUCUGUUUCUCUUUCUCUCUCCCUCUCUUGUGCCGUCCCUCAUUCAUUCACUCUUCCAUCUUUUUGCCAUUGUGCCAGCUCAAUUUAAAUGUAUCUGCUCUCUAUCUGUUCAAGUGGACAUAAUCCAUGCAAAUCAGGAACCGUGGCUUUCAAUGCCUGGUUCACAGAGAGGACUCAGCUUGAGGAGGUCACUCGUUCACAGCCGCUCCUCCCAUUAUAUUUUUCCCCUUAUUGCAGAACUGCUGUAUGUAUACAGUGACUGAAAGGACUCAAUGUACUGCAACUGCUGCCUGGCUUUACUUACAACUUUUUUUUAUAAAGGAACUUACCUCCAUCUGUCUUUUCAAGUUUCAGGGUAGAAAGGGUCCCUUUAACGCCUGAAGACAGUAAAUCACAGUUUGUGUGGUGGUUCUCAGAAGACACUUAAAGGACUGAACUGGAUGCUCUACAUAGCCCCCUUGCCAAAAGAGUUCGGAAAUGACUUCCAGCUUCCCACAGUAAUAAAAUGGCACUGUUUGGCAUCUUCGAGGGUCUAGGAGGAAGUUUGAUCAUCUUCCAUUUCCCAUCUGGUUAUUCAUAAGGCACCUGCACGGCUGUGAUUUCUCCUAGACUACACAAUGCUACCAGCUGACAACAAACAUUUUAUAAAGGAAGACCACCUUUCAGAAAAGGCAUCUGAACAUUAGAAGCUUGUCAACCAAAGACACGGGA